rnacentral:rRNA from 1 species
CAGCCGCCACGGGAAUACGAAGGGGGCUAGCGUUGUUCGGAUUUACUGGGCGUAAAGCGCACGUAGGCGGACUUUUAAGUCAGGGGUGAAAUCCCGGGGCUCAACCCCGGAACUGCCUUUGAUACUGGAAGUCUUGAGUAUGGUAGAGGUGAGUGGAAUUCCGAGUGUAGAGGUGAAAUUCGUAGAUAUUCGGAGGAACACCAGUGGCGAAGGCGGCUCACUGGACCAUUACUGACGCUGAGGUGCGAAAGCGUGGGGAGCAAACAGGAUUAGAUACCCCUGUAGUCCCUGUCUCUUAUAC